UACUUUCUACUGUUCACAUGUCACAUAAAAAUUUAUUGUCAUUCAUCUAAAACAAUCAAAAUCUUCACAUGCAUAUGUCAUCACAAGGACUUUUUCAAAGGCUUGUAUUGUGGUUGGGCUAUCAAGAAAAUCGUUUUUUCUGGAAUACAAAAUCCUUGAGUUAAGAGAGUUUAAUUCAUCAUUCAAAGUUCAAACACACUCUUUCUUUAACCAAUCUCACUCAUUCCCAACUUUUUCCCUUUUUCCUUUUAGCUUUUUUCAUUGAGUUCAUUUUACAUGCUUUUCUGUUUUCUUCUUUUCUUUUCUUUCUCAUGCAUUUUUCUUUUUCAUCAUUUGAACUCAAUGCUUUUGCUUUUGCCUUUUUCUUUCCCCAUACAACCCCAAACU
rnacentral:lncRNA from 1 species